GCACAGCUCGCACCCGCGGCGUCCGGCACCUGCUCCGGCGACUCACCGCCGGCCCCAUGCCCCCUCGCUCCGCACCCAUUCCGGCAUGGUCAAGCUCCUCGCCGACCUCCUCCACGACGUUCCGCCCGCGACCUGCACCGGCCUCGCCACGCCCCCGCCCACGUCUCCUCGCUCCUCCUGCUCCAGCCUCCCCACACAGCCUCCCCGCUCUGGCUCUCCCUCCCAGCGCUUUCCGUCUAUGCUCAUGCCGUCCGUCUCGCCAUCUUCCCCGCACGCCGCAUCACUCCGAACCAGUAUGCGGCUUCCCCAUAUCGUCCCCCAUUGUCAAGAUUCGUCAGCUCACCCUUGCCCGUGUCCUGUUCGAUGAAAUGCCGCAGUCCGGUAUUUGCCUGGAUGAGUAUGUUUACACGGCUGGGAUUCGGGCUUACAGCGAGGCAGGGAAUCUCACUGCACGGAGAGGCUUGUGGCGAGGAUUGAGGGUCAAGGUCAGCGUGGUGUCGUAUGUACUGCUGUAUGGAUUGGGCAAGAAUCAACGCAUUCAGGAGGCAGUGGUAGCCGCGAGGUAAAGAAUAACGUGGUGGUGACUGGGCGCUGCUGUAUGGGUUUGGUUGGACAGAGGAGCUGUAAAUGGCGUUGAGAAUGGCGACAUGGCCAGGCUUGCUUUCGUGCCAUCAGAGGUCAAUUGCUCAUUUCUGCUUGGUAGGCUACGAAAGAGGGUAUGGCGACGAACAUAUUUGCAUACAAUGCAUUGCCUGAUAACCUGUGCGAGAAUGGUAUGUUCGGUGAGGCAGACAGGCUUUUCAGUGAGUUGUUAGACAGGGGUCUGGUGCCAAAUGAGGUGACUUAUGCUAUGCUGAUACAUUGAACUUUGCAAAAGGGGGGUGAUGGAGGAUGCACUUCAUAUGUUUGAUAGGAUGCGGGAGAAGGGAGUCAGAAUGACAGUUUAUCCAUACAUUUCCUUAAUUAAUGAUUGCUGCGAAACAGGAGGAUUUGGACAUGGCAGACGGCCUUUCUGGGCGAGAUGGCUAAGAUAGGAGUGAGACUGAAUGUAGCUUCAUAUUCUCCACUCAUAGCCGGUCUAUAUAGAGAAGGGGGCCUAUCCAGUGCCAUGGAACUCCACCAGAGAUGGCUGAGAAGGUUGUUGCAUGGACUACUUAUACGUUAACAGCCCUCAUCAAUGGUUUCUGCCAAAUGAAGCUUCUCGGUUGUUUAAUAAGAUGAUUGACAGCAAUCUAGCACCAAAUGAAACAACUUUUAGUGUCAUGAUAGAAGGGUAUUUCCUGGUAGGUAAUAUAAAGAGGCAUUCCAGUUGUAUGAUAAAAUGGUGGAUAGGGGCCUCAAACCUGGCAAUUACACAAUCUGGGGCUGCCAGAAUAUACAGUCGCUUCUUUCAGGAUCACAUAAUUCCAGAUUGAAUGUCUUGAGGCGAGGCUCCCCUUUUGCUCCAUGUUCCCCAAUAUGCUAACCAGCAAACACGAGGAUAUGCCAAGCCUGAAGACAGAAACCAAGCACUCCUGGAUUCUACUAGUCAUAUCAUCCUUUGGUUCUCCAUGCAGCCAGAUUGUUGGGUCAGCUA